GACGAACGCUGGCGGCGUGCCUAAUACAUGCAAGUAGAACGCACAGUUUAUACCGUAGCUUGCUACACCAUAGACUGUGAGUUGCGAACGGGUGAGUAACGCGUAGGUAACCUGCCUGGUAGCGGGGGAUAACUAUUGGAAACGAUAGCUAAUACCGCAUAAUAUUCAUUAUUGCAUGAUAAUUAAUUGAAAGGUGCAAUUGCACCACUACCAGAUGGACCUGCGUUGUAUUAGCUAGUAGGUGAGGUAACGGCUCACCUAGGCGACGAUACAUAGCCGACCCGAGAGGGUGAUCGGCCACACUGGGACUGAGACACGGCCCAGGCUCCUACGGGAGGCAGCAGUAGGGAAUCUUUGGCAAUGGACGAAAGUCUGAACGAGCAACGCCGCGUGAGUGAAGAAGGUUUUCGGAUCGUAAAGCUCUGUUGUAAGAGAAGAACGGGUGUGAGAGUGGAAAGUUCACACUGUGACGGUAUCUUACCAGAAAGGGACGGCUAACUACGUG
rnacentral:rRNA from 1 species